rnacentral:rRNA from 1 species
AGUGAACGCUGGCGGUAGGCCUAACACAUGCAAGUCGAACGGCAGCACAGUAAGAGCUUGCUCUUACGGGUGGCGAGUGGCGGACGGGUGAGGAAUACAUCGGAAUCUACUUUUUCGUGGGGGAUAACGUAGGGAAACUUACGCUAAUACCGCAUACGACCUACGGGUGAAAGCAGGGGAUCUUCGGACCUUGCGCGAUUGAAUGAGCCGAUGUCGGAUUAGCUAGUUGGCGGGGUAAGGGCCCACCAAGGCGACGAUCCGUAGCUGGUCUGAGAGGAUGAUCAGCCACACUGGAACUGAGACACGGUCCAGACUCCUACGGGAGGCAGCAGUGGGGAAUAUUGGACAAUGGGCGCAAGCCUGAUCCAGCCAUACCGCGUGGGUGAAGAAGGCCUUCGGGUUGUAAAGCCCUUUUGUUGGGAAAGAAAAGCAGCAGGUUAAUACCCCGCCGUUCUGACGGUACCCAAAGAAUAAGCACCGGCUAACUUCGUG